UCGGUUCCGGUUCACGUCCACUACGGCCGCACGGCACAUCGCUGUGGGCCGGGCGACCCGGGGCC
rfam:Nocardia nova SH22a, complete genome.